rnacentral:rRNA from 1 species
UACAGAGGGUGCAAGCGUUGUUCGGAAUUAUGGUGCGUAAAGGGAGUGUAGGCGGCUUGUUAAGUCUUCUGUGAAAUCUACGGGCUUAGCCUGUAACGUGCAGAGGAAACUGGCGAGCUUGAGUGUCGGAGAGGGUAGCGGAAUUCCCGGUGUAGAGGUGAAAUUCGUAGAGAUCGGGAGGAACACCAGUGGCGAAGGCGGCUACCUGGCUGACAACUGACGCUGAGACUCGAAAGCAUGGGGAGCAAACAGG